AAGUCGUAACAAGGUAACCGUAGGUGAACCUGCGGUUGGAUCAUUAACAAUAUUAUGAUCGGGAUAAAUUGAGUCUCUGGAGUGAUUGGAUUUGGUUCCUCCUCUGGGCUCAUAUUGACCCAAGACCCCAACAUCUUUGUGAACUGUUUUAAACCUUUUGUUUGGCCAAUGGUUGGGAAGCCCCCCGGGAUUCCUUUCCAGUGUCCAGACAAUACCAACCUAAUUCAUAUUUGUCAUAAUGAUACAAUUUUUUUUCUUUAAAACAAGAAACAACUUUUGGCAACGGAUCUCUUGGCUCUC
rnacentral:misc_RNA from 1 species